CCUACGGGCGGCAGCAGUGGGGAAUAUUGCACAAUGGGCGCAAGCCUGAUGCAGCCAUGCCGCGUGUGUGAAGAAGGCCUUCGGGUUGUAAAGCACUUUCAGCGGGGAGGAAGGCGGUGAGGUUAAUAACCUCAUCGAUUGACGUUACCCGCAGAAGAAGCACCGGCUAACUCCGUGCCAGCAGCCGCGGUAAUACGGAGGGUGCAAGCGUUAAUCGGAAUUACUGGGCGUAAAGCGCACGCAGGCGGUCUGUCAAGUCGGAUGUGAAAUCCCCGGGCUCAACCUGGGAACUGCAUUCGAAACUGGCAGGCUAGAGUCUUGUAGAGGGGGGUAGAAUUUCAGGUGUAGCGGUGAAAUGCGUAGAGAUCUGGAGGAAUACCGGUGGCGAAGGCGGCCCCCUGGACAAAGACUGACGCUCAGGUGCGAAAGCGUGGGGAGCAAACAGGAUUAAUACCCCGGUAGUC
rnacentral:rRNA from 1 species